rnacentral:rRNA from 1 species
GAUGAACGCUGGCGGCGUGCUUAACACAUGCAAGUCGAGCGAAGCGAUUUUGAUGAAGUUUUCGGAUGGAAUUAAGAUUGACUGAGCGGCGGACGGGUGAGUAACGCGUGGGUAACCUGCCUCAUACAGGGGGAUAACAGUUAGAAAUGGCUGCUAAUACCGCAUAAGCGCACAGCAUCGCAUGAUGUCGUGUGAAAAACUCCGGUGGUAUGAGAUGGACCCGCGUCUGAUUAGGUAGUUGGCGGGGUAACGGCCCACCAAGCCGACGAUCAGUAGCCGACCUGA